GAUGAACGCUGGCGGCGUGCCUAAUACAUGCAAGUCGAGCGAACGGACGAGAAGCUUGCUUCUCUGAUGUUAGCGGCGGACGGGUGAGUAACACGUGGAUAACCUACCUAUAAGACUGGGAUAACUUCGGGAAACCGGAGCUAAUACCGGAUAAUAUUUUGAACCGCAUGGUUCAAAAGUGAAAGACGGUCUUGCUGUCACUUAUAGAUGGAUCCGCGCUGCAUUAGCUAGUUGGUAAGGUAACGGCUUACCAAGGCAACGAUGCAUAGCCGACCUGAGAGGGUGAUCGGCCACACCGGAACUGAGACACGGGCCAGGCUCCUACGGGAGGCAGCAGUAGGGAAUCUUCCGCAAAGGGCGAAAGCCUGACGGAGCAACGCCGCGUGAGUGAUGAAGGUCUUCGGAUCGUAAAACUCUGUUAUUAGGGAAGAACAUAUGUGGAAGUAACUGGUCACAUCUUGACGGUACCUAAUCAGAAAGCCACGGCUAACUACGUG
rnacentral:rRNA from 1 species